rnacentral:rRNA from 1 species
UACGUAGGGGGCAAGCGUUAUCCGGAAUUCUUGGGCGUAAAGCGCGCGCAGGCGGUUUCUUAAGUCUGAUGUGAAAGCCCACGGCUCAACCGUGGAGGGUCAUUGGAAACUGGGGAACUUGAGUGCAGAAGAGAAAAGCGGAAUUCCACGUGUAGCGGUGAAAUGCGUAGAGAUGUGGAGGAACACCAGUGGCGAAGGCGGCUUUGUGGUCUGUAACCGACGCUGAGGCGCGAAAGCGUGGGGAGCAAACAGG